rnacentral:misc_RNA from 1 species
UUUUACGCCUCCCUCACCUUGCCACGCGAUGUGCCGUGGGGCGGAAAAUGCAGAGAGGGCACAGUCGUGAAGGAUGCUGUUCUUGCCAGUUUCUCCGUUCAUACGAUUUUAUUUCCUUCCAUCCGGGUGUGGGCAGAGUAUUCCCACUUGGCACGGGGCUUUUCUCUGACGUUUUCCUCUGUCGUUUCCAUCUCCCCCACGAGUACCUUUGCCGCUGGGUGCUGCGAGCGUCAGGUAAGUUCGCUCUUGCCGCUUUUUGAGGGGCGCUCUUUUGCUUUUCAGUUUUUUUUUGUCUUCGAGUCAAGGCGCGCGCAGCGCAUACACGGGGGCCGUCUUCUUUUGUUGCCUCAUGGAACCCCGCACCCUGCGUGGCGCGCGAAGAUGCAUACAGGUAUGUAUAUAUACGCUUGCGGUCUUCUGUGGUCGUACGUGUGGUUCUCAACGUCUUUCCGCCUUUCUGCGGUUCUCUCCUUUUUUUUUUUCGCUGUUUGGUGGAGCAUGUAAUCUUCUUCCACCCCCUUGCUGAAGACACCUCUAAAUCCGUGUUCCUUCCGAUUUGAGUAGUCGACCCUUUUCCGAUGCCAGAGGUGUUCAGGCUUUAUCGCGUUGCCAGGGCAAGGACCGCCGCAAGCGCCAGUGCCUGCCUCGGAAACGAUCGGUGUCCCCAUCAAGGCAGUCUGCUCUUGCGGGAGGCAGAGGACCGGUUGCUAGCAUUCAAAAUUGCGAGGAGAAUUAUGUCCUCCAUCGGUAGCGCAGCGGAAGCGGUGAGAACACGAUGAUAACGCCCGGAGACGCUUCAUUGGGUGCUGCUUUGUCAUUACCGUUGCAAAUUGUUUCCCAUUCCUCUCACCUCGCUGGUUUACCCGGCUGUGGCUGGGCUCGGUGGGCGGGUGGGCUCGAAGCAGCAGCGCCAAAGAAGAAAAAGUUAGCUGAGCAAGAGCCGGAUAAUGGAAAUGUGCGCGCGCACGCCGGCGAGAGCGAGUUGCUAGACAACGCACAACCAGCAGGGGGUGCACGUUUUUUCUGCCCCCCCCCCCCCCCGUUCUCUACACUUAGCUGAAGGAGGACGUAAGGGAAAACCCGCAUUGCGCAUCCCCGCCGCUGGAGGCCGAUCGGAUCGGGAAGUCAAGCCGAGACAAUGGCACCGUGCAUUUUUUUUCAGCGAUGGCGGCUGCGCUUCGUACACGCGCGCAAGCGAGAGGGCAGGCAAGCACGUUUUGUUCAUGUUUGCGUUUGCUGCUCCCGGCGCAGACAUCCGCUGGGGCACAGUAGACACUCG